GAUGAACGCUAGCUACAGGCUUAACACAUGCAAGUCGAGGGGUAACGAGAGGAAAGCUUGCUUUCCCUGUCGACGACCGGCGCACGGGUGGGUAACGCGUAUCCAACCUGCCCCCAACUAGGGAAUAACCUUGCGAAAGUAAGACUAAUACCCUAUAAUUUCCUCAGAUGACAUCUGACGAGGAAUAAAGAUUUAUCGGUUGUGGAUGGGGAUGCGUCUGAUUAGCUUGUUGGCGGGGUAACGGCCCACCAAGGCAACGGUCAGUAGGGGUUCUGAGAGGAAGGUCCCCCACAUUGGAACUGAGACACGGUCCAAACUCCUACGGGAGGCAGCAGUGAGGAAUAUUGGUCAAUGGGCGGAAGCCUGAACCAGCCAAGUAGCGUGCAGGAUGACGGCCCUAUGGGUUGUAAACUGCUUUUAUACAGGAAUAAAGUUAGCCACGUGUGGUUAUUUGUAGGUACUGUAUGAAUAAGGACCGGCUAAUUCCGUGCCAGCCGCCGCCGUAA
rnacentral:rRNA from 1 species